rnacentral:rRNA from 1 species
GAUGAACGCUGGCGGCGUGCCUAAUACAUGCAAGUCGAGCGAACAGACGAGGAGCUUGCUCCUCUGACGUUAGCGUCGGACGGGUGAGUAACACGUGGAUAACCUACCUAUAAGACUGGGAUAACUUCGGGAAACCGGAGCUAAUACCGGAUAAUAUAUUGAACCGCAUGGUUCAAUAGUGAAAGACGGUUUUGCUGUCACUUAUAGAUGGAUCCGCGCCGCAUUAGAUAGUUGGUAAGGUAACGGCUUACCAAGGCGACGAUGCGUAGCCGACCUGAGAGGGUGAGCGGCCACAAUGGAACUGAAACAAGGUACAGACUCCUACGGGAGGCAGCAGUAGGGAAUCUACCGCAAUGGGCGAAAGCUUGACGGAGCAACGCCGCGUGAGUGAUGAAGGUCUUCGGAUCGUAAAACUCUGUUAUUAGGGAAGAAAAAAUGUGUAAGUAACUAUGCACGUCUUGACGGUACCUAAUCAGAAAGCCACGGCUAACUACGUG